rnacentral:miRNA from 1 species
CAGACAGUUUGGUGCGCUAGUUGU